rnacentral:rRNA from 1 species
AUUGAACGCUGGCGGCAGGCCUAACACAUGCAAGUCGAGCGGAUGAAGGGAGCUUGCUCCUGGAUUCAGCGGCGGACGGGUGAGUAAUGCCUAGGAACCUGCCUGGUAGUGGGGGAUAACGUCCGGAAACGGGCGCUAAUACCGCAUACGUCCUGAGGGAGAAAGUGGGGGAUCUUCGGACCUCACGCUAUCAGAUGAGCCUAGGUCGGAUUAGCUAGUUGGUGGGGUAAAGGCCUACCAAGGCGACGAUCCGUAACUGGUCUGAGAGGAUGAUCAGUCACACUGGAACUGAGACACGGUCCAGACUCCUACGGGAGGCAGCAGUGGGGAAUAUUGGACAAUGGGGGAAAGCCUGAUCCAGCCAUGCCGCGUGUGUGAAGAAGGUCUUCGGAUUGUAAAGCACUUUAGGUUGGGAGGAAGGGCAGUAAGCUAAUACCUCGCGGUUUUGACGUUACCAACAGAAUAAGCACCGGCUAACUUCGUG